rnacentral:lncRNA from 1 species
UAGAACAGUACUAUCAUCCUGGUGUUGGGAUGCUCUGGAACUGACUGGCAGCUGUAUAUCAAUGCAUCGAAGAGCUCCUUGAACCCUUACAGGCUUCUAAAGUAGAUUGUAUUCCCAUUCUACAGACGUGGAAACAGGCUCAGAGAUUGUUCUAUCUGCCCCAGGCCACCAGGAGGAGGUUGUAGCCAGCUCUUGUUCUAGAGCUCUAUGCAUCCUACUGAAUUGCCCAAAGCAGCAGAACAGGGCAGGGAGGAAAGGUACAUUGGAGAUGGCUUCCCAGGGCCCACAAGUCCAUUCCCAGGCCCUGCAGCCUUCACCUUCAGAAUCACCUGCAAGCAUUAGAAUCCCAAAGCCCUUUCACUCUGCUCCUGACACCUGUUAUACAGCCGCAGCCCAUAGACACCCAGUAACUUCAAACACCAGCAUGGAUGAACAGCGGCCUUGGGGAUUUGAGCUCAACUCUCUGCCCACACAGUUCCUUUCUGAUUAGGCUGCCUCCCCCAUAUACUGUAGGAUGUGUACCUUGAGAAGUCAAGGACACGACUCAAAUCAACUGCGAGUUAUACUCGUUCCAGGCUACCAUGGCAACAAGUGUUCAUCCUGGCAUCUGCUCCUGGCAAGGUUGGCUCUCCACCCUCGAAGUUCUGCAUUAGCAUUUGUGUCAAGCACCUCAGAACAAAGUCAUGCUGUGGGGCCGCCCUGAGGCCCACGUGACCUCGAUCCCUACCCAAAUGGACCAACUUGCCAAUGAGAGGUUCUAGCUCUACCAUCAAGGAACUGUGACAUCGAGAUGAGCUACUUAAAGGCUCAAGUUGCUCAUCUAUAAUGUGAGCAUUUUUAGCAAAGUAUUUUUCCAAUUAGUG